UACAGAGGGGGCAAGCGUUGUUCGGAAUUACUGGGCGUAAAGGGCGCGUAGGCGGCCUGUUAAGUCGAACGUGAAAUCCCCGGGCUCAACCCGGGAACUGCGUCCGAUACUGGCAGGCUUGAAUCCGGGAGAGGGAUGCGGAAUUCCAGGUGUAGCGGUGAAAUGCGUAGAUAUCUGGAGGAACACCGGUGGCGAAGGCGGCAUCCUGGACCGACACUGACGCUGAGGAGCGAAAGUCAGGGGAGCAAACGGG
rnacentral:rRNA from 1 species